rnacentral:rRNA from 1 species
UGAGUAACCUGCCCUGGACUUUGGGAUAACCUUCGGAAACGGGGGCUAAUACCGGAUAUGACGGCUCACCGCAUGGUGUGGUUGUGGAAAGUUUUUCGGUCUGGGAUGGGCUCGCGGCCUAUCAGCUUGUUGGUGGGGUGAUGGCCUACCAAGGCGACGACGGGUAGCCGGCCUGAGAGGGCGACCGGCCACACUGGGACUGAGACACGGCCCAGACUCCUACGGGAGGCA